rnacentral:rRNA from 1 species
AGAGUUUGAUCCUGGCUCAGGACGAACGCUGGCGGCGUGCCUAACACAUGCAAGUCGAACGGGACUCAGCCCUUCGGGACUGAGUUUAGUGGCGAACGGGUGAGUAACGCGUGAGGAACCUGCCUUUCAGUGGGGGACAACAGUUGGAAACGACUGCUAAUACCGCAUAAUGCUUUUUGAUGGCAUCAUUGAAAAGCCAAAGAUUUAUUGCUGAAAGAUGGCCUCGCGUCUGAUUAGCUGGUUGGUGAGGUAACGGCCCACCAAGGCGACGAUCAGUAGCCGGUCUGAGAGGAUGAACGGCCACAUUGGGACUGAGAUACGGCCCAGACUCCUACGGGAGGCAGCAGUGGGGAAUAUUGGGCAAUGGGGGAAACCCUGACCCAGCAACGCCGCGUGAAGGAAGAAGGCCUUCGGGUUGUAAACUUCUUUUACCAGGGACGAAAAAGAUGACGGUACCUGGAGAAAAAGCAACGGCUAACUACGUGCCAGCAGCCGCGGUAAUACGUAGGUUGCAAGCGUUGUCCGGAUUUACUGGGUGUAAAGGGCGUGUAGGCGGAGAUGCAAGUUGGGAGUGAAAUCCAUGGGCUCAACCCAUGAACUGCUCUCAAAACUGUAUCCCUUGAGUAUCGGAGAGGCAAGCGGAAUUCCUAGUGUAGCGGUGAAAUGCGUAGAUAUUAGGAGGAACACCAGUGGCGAAGGCGGCUUGCUGGACGACAACUGACGCUGAGGCGCGAAAGCGUGGGGAGCAAACAGGAUUAGAUACCCUGGUAGUCCACGCUGUAAACGAUGAAU